GGGGACAAAGGGAGCGGCGCGGACACUCUGGUACCACCUUCGCUGGGCCGUCGAGACUCAGCUCUGCAGCUAAGGGGCGCGGCUCCAGGAAGGGCAGAAGGCGGGGAGUGCCCGGCCCCUUCUUACCCGUCGGAUUUGCCUUUGAUGAAUGUUUAAAACAAAAAAGAAGGCAAGCUCCUUCAAAUGUGAACUCCUGCCAAUAAAACAUAAGCAUUUUCCCAGAAGUGCAGACUCCACUUAUUUGGAUCAACUGAGUGUUGUGAUAGCAGUUGACCAACUGGUUUGUUGUCCAAGUUUAUUGUCACAUGCGGAGAGAGUGACUGACCCAAGAAGACACCAAGCCAACUUUCAUGACUAAGGGCCUUUGUUUUCCUUCCCUGCUUCUUCCUUUCACAUUAAUGAUGUGGCUGAUUCCAUCAUCAAGCAUCAUGGAGUGGCUGAGAUGGUAUCAUUAUGCAAGGCAUGCAGGAUGAAAUGGCAACGCCUCUACACAUCAAGGGAACAAAA